rnacentral:tRNA from 1 species
GCCGGAGUAGCUCAGUGGUAGAGCAACUGUUUCGUAAACAGUAGGUCGUGAGUUCAAUCCUCGCCUCCGGCU